UGUCCUUGUAUUUCCCCAAAAAAUAAAUUUCCCGGGUCCCUACUUAUUUUAGGCAGGUUCUUUCAUGUGACAGGUUCCCUGAGGGCUGUUAGCAGAUGCUCCUUCUUUGCAAAAGGCAGGAAGAGCCACCCCCAGACUAGAGAAGGUGGGCUUCUAUGGGUCCUGCUCCAGGGGGCCCCCGACCCAACCACCACCCAGGCCCUGGCAGUAGAUCAAGAACUGGUCCAAGAGGAGACCCUGGCACUAGCUGAAGAAAACAGGCGAGGGACCUCCCAGGAAGGCAGCUGGUUGAACCUCUGUCAGUUAAUGGAACACACUCUUAUCCUUAGACAAAGCAAAAUCACAUAAUCAACACAGAAGUGGACAACCUUCAGGAUCAAAAGAUUCAGUGGGAGCCUUGGAAUGUAGCUCAGUGGUAGAGUGUCUAGCAUGUGUGAGGUCCUGGGCUCAGUCCCCAGCUCCACAAAGCAAAACAAAACAAACGUUCAGUGCACUAGGAAUCGGGAAAACUUCCUCGGCUCGAUAAAAUGGCAUCUAUGAGAAAACCAGAAUUCAGAUUGGUACAUUAGUGAAUGGGUUCCUCCAAGACCAGGAAUGAGAAUGUCCAUUCUUGCCUCUUCUAGUCAAUAUUGUACAGGAGAUUCUCAUUAGGAAACUGCAUGAGAAAAAUGAAGUAAAAACCAUAUGCAUUAGAAAGUAAGAAGUAAAAAAUGACCUGUUUGC
rnacentral:lncRNA from 1 species